rnacentral:rRNA from 1 species
UACGUAGGUGGCAAGCGUUGUCCGGAUUUACUGGGCGUAAAGAGCGCGCAGGCGGUCGUCCAAGUCGCGUGUGAAAGCCCCCGGCUCAACUGGGGAGGGUCACGCGAUACUGUUCGACUCGAAGGCAGGAGAGGGAAGUGGAAUUCCCGGUGUAGUGGUGAAAUGCGUAGAUAUCGGGAGGAACACCAGUGGCGAAGGCGGUUGCCUGGAGCUUUGCUGACGCUGAUGCGCGAAAGCGUGGGGAGCGAUCCGG